CCUGGUUGAUCCUGCCAGUAGUCAUAUGCUUGUCUCAAAGAUUAAGCCAUGCAUGUGUAAGUACAGGCCGACUUAAGGCGAAACCGCGGACGGCUCAUUAAAUCAGAUAUAACUCAUUGGAUCUCUGCUGAACCGCAUUACUUGGAUAACUGUGGUAAUUCUAGAGCUAAUACAUGCCUUUGUAGUCUCCGACCGCGAGGGAGGAGCGCUUUUAUUAGACCAAAACCCUCGGCAGCCGGUUCCCGCAAGGGGCCGGCCGCACACAUCUUGGUGAAUCAGAAUAACUUUUGCCGAGCGCACGACCCCUCCCGUAACCCGGGUUGGGUCGGCGCCGCGUCCUGCAGGCGUCUGCCUUAUCAGCUCUCGAUUGUAGGUUAAACGCCUACAAUGGCUAUCACGGGUAACGGGGAAUCAGGGUUCGAUUCCGGAGAGGGAGCCUGAGAAACGGCUACCACAUCUAAGGAAGGCAGCAGGCGCGCAAAUUACCCACUCCCGGCACGGGGAGGUAGUGACGAAAAAUACUGUUGCGAGCCCCGAACGGGGCCUCGCAAUUGGAAUGAGUACACUUUAAAUCCUUGUACGAGGAUCGAGUGGAGGGCAAGUCUGGUGCCAGCCGCCGCGGUAAUUCCAGCUCCACUAGCGUAUAUUAAAGUUGUUGCGGUUGAAACGCUCGUAGUUUGACUUCUGCUCCGGACCGGCGGUCCGCCUUAGCGGCGGCUACUGCCGGGUUCCGAGCUGUGUCCCCGCCGGCGCACAUGGGGUUUUUAUGCCCUUAACCGGGUGUCCCCUUGUGGCCGGCACGUUUACUUUGAAAAAAUUAGAGUGCUCAGAGCAGGCUGGUUUUUGCUUACAGCCCGAAUGGUCGUGCAUGGAAUGAUGGAACAGGACCUCGGUUCUAUUUUGUCGGUUUUUCGGAACCCGAGGUAAUGAUUAAUAGAAGCAGACGGGGGCAUUCGUACUGCGACGCUAGAGGUGAAAUUCUUAGACCGUCGCAUGACGACCUACUGCGAAAGCAUCUGCCAAGGAUGUUUUCAUUGAUCAAGAACGAAAGUUAGAGGUUCGAAGGCGAUCAGAUACCGCCCUAGUUCUAACCUUAAACGAUGCUGACUAGCGAUCCGCCGCAGUUAUUCCCAUGACCCGGCGGGUAGCUUCCGGGAAACCAAAGUCUUUGAGUUCCGGGGAAGUAUGGUUGCAAAGCUGAAACUUAAAGGAAUUGACGGACAGUACUUCAACGACCAGCACACCAACCCCCGCUGCGACCCCAUCAGCAGCGCCCCGUACGACUUCUGCUCCCCGCUUUGCAACCCCUGUGAGGCUCACUGCACUCACGCGGGAGAAGUCACUCCUGACCCAACGGACUGCUCCACUUACUAUGUGUGCCUUGAUGACGGACAUGUCCUCCCGGUUGGCUGCUCGGCUGAAACACCCUUCUUCGACUUCAUGGUCGGGGAAUGCCAGACCGACCCGACCCUCUGCUUCCACUACUGCGACGUCUGCGAGCCCCACUGUACCCAGCAGAACGAGCGUGUUCCAGACCCGACUGACUGCCACAGGUUCUACCUCUGCACGCCGCCCACCAUGUCCAGUUUCCUGUGUCCCCAUGAGGAGGUGUUCAACAGGGUGACAGGCGUGUGUGAAGCAGGGGCAACG
rnacentral:rRNA from 1 species